rnacentral:rRNA from 1 species
CAGUAGCCGCGGGAAUACGAAGGGGGCUAGCGUUGCUCGGAAUCACUGGGCGUAAAGGGUGCGUAGGCGGGUCUUUAAGUCAGGGGUGAAAUCCUGGAGCUCAACUCCAGAACUGCCUUUGAUACUGUUUGUCUUGAGUUCGAGAGAGGUAAGUGGAACUGCGAGUGUAGAGGUGAAAUUCGUAGAUAUUCGCAAGAACACCAGUGGCGAAGGCGGCUUACUGGCUCGAAACUGACGCUGAGGCGCGAAAGCGUGGGGAGCAAACAGGAUUAGAUACCCGUGUAGUCCCUGUCUCUUAUAC